AGAGUUUGAUCCUGGCUCAGAAUCAACGCUGGCGGCGUGCCUCAGACAUGCAAGUCGAACGCGAAAGCGCCCUUCGGGGUGCAAGUAGAGUGGCGCACGGGUGAGUAACACGUAGGUAAUCUACCUUUGGAUGGGGAAUAACAACCGGAAACGGUUGCUAAUACCGCAUAAUGCAGCGGCACCUAAUGGUGACAGUUGUUAAAGCGGGGGAUCGAAAGACCUCGCGUCUGAAGAGGAGCCUGCGGCGGAUUAGCUAGUUGGUAAGGUAAUGGCUUACCAAGGCGAUGAUCCGUAACCGGCCUGAGAGGGCGGUCGGUCACACUGACACUGACAUACGGGUCAGACUCCUACGGGAGGCAGCAGUCGGGAAUUUUGGGCAAUGGGCGAAAGCCUGACCCAGCAACGCCGCGUGAAGGAUGAAAUCCCUCGGGAUGUAAACUUCGCAAGAACAGGAAGAAUAAGUAAGGGUUAAUAUCUCUUACGAUGACGGUACUGUUUGUAAGCUCCGGCUAACUCCGUGCCAGCAGCCGCGGUAAUACGGGGGGAGCAAGCGUUGUUCGGAUUUACUGGGCGUAAAGGGCGCGUAGGCGGCCACCGCAAGUCGAUUGUGAAAUCUCCGGGCUUAACCCGGAAAGGUCAACCGAUACUGCGGGGCUAGAGUGCAGAAGGGGCAACUGGAAUUCUCGGUGUAGCGGUGAAAUGCGUAGAUAUCGAGAGGAACACCUGCGGCGAAGGCGGGUUGCUGGGCUGACACUGACGCUGAAGUGCGAAAGCUAGGGGAGCGACGGGAUUAGAUACCCNNGUAGUCC
rnacentral:rRNA from 1 species